rnacentral:lncRNA from 1 species
ACCCUUUCCUCAGGGCCCAGAGUAUCCGAUGGGAGGCACGUCGGAUUACUCCAGCUUUGCCCCAUAUCCACCCUACAUGCCAUAUAUGCCCUAUCCUUCCUUCUAUCCACCAUAUCACAUGUAUCCACCCCCACCUGUUCAUCCAAGUCCAGUACAGCCUGAAGUGAGGGAACCAGUUCCUCCCCCACCACCUCCUGAACCAGUAGCCCCUGUUGUGGAAGCACAGCAACCCAGUUCUUCAGGGGGAAGUAAGGUGAAGAUGACCGAGUACUUAAAGUUGGAUGCUCCUAAAUUCA